AGUUUGUCCGGGUAGAUGUAGAUCCGAGCAGGGAGGCGGCUGCGGCCGGUGACAAAGCGCAGGAAACGGCUCCGGUCCUCUGGGGGGCGGGGGGGGGGCGGGGGCGGGGAGAAGACAAUUAAGGCUUGCACUGACAAGGAAGUUCUCUAAGUUCCCGCCCGCUCUCUUUAAUCCACAAGCCAGGUCCCAAGGUCAGCAAGUCCAGCACAGCCUGUGGUACCACCUUCAGCAGACCUGCCUGCAUGGCUGCCACCUAGGGAGGAGGAAGAAGCCUGCCUGGGAAAGUUGGACACUACUUUCAGCGUACACUGGGGCAUCUCUGUACUCACUGACCAACAGGAAUGGGGCGCAGUCAUGGAAGCCAGCAUUAGGGUGGAUAUUGGUCGCCUACCAGUGGGCUCUGGUGUCAAGGGAAGGGCCCGCCGCACCCGUUCUCCUACCUGCUCCUUGCUCUCCUCUAGCCGUGCCUUCCGCACCAGCUGGAUGAAACGGGAGCGGUCCUCAUAUUCCACCACGAUGCCCGUGCCCCCAGGAAUCAGUUCCACGACCUGCUGGUCACUCAGGACGGUGGUGAAUGUCAGCUCCUUCCCAAACUUG
rnacentral:lncRNA from 1 species